CACAAAAAGCAUAUGUAAAAUUCCCACAAAUGACUCAAACUCAACUCCAAAGGUACUAUACCAAAUUAUAUAUCCAUCACGAUACUAAACCUGUGCUGAUAAUUCUUUACCGAUUCUGUGCAACCUUGCAAGAUGUAUAAUCGAGACCUUCUCUAUCCCUCUAAUACAACUCGAACACCAUUCUUGACCUUCUAGACUCUACCUCCUCUAGAGAACUCAUAAACUUUCGAAUCAGGGGUACUCGACGAGAUGAGACUCUUCUUCAAAUCCAAAACAUGUCGAACCUGGCCAAGUGUUCUAAUUGUCCCAUCAAUUAACUUAAUUUGACCCUGCCAAUACUAGCUACCUAAAAAGGUUUAUUGUUUUGAAAUUUGGUAGGUCGAUUGGAAACGGCCCGCGGACAACUAGCUUUGGUCUUUGAAGAAGUGUUGGAUAGAAAAUUAACAAAGAGAAAUCGCACCAGGGGCAAUUUCGUUAUUUUUCGCGAUGGUGUCGGAAUGGGCUGAAAUUUGGCAGGUCGAUUGGAAACAGCCCGAGAAAUUGGACACGGAUGACAACAACACCUUG
rnacentral:lncRNA from 1 species